rnacentral:rRNA from 1 species
GACCCUGAUUAAUAAACUUCGGCGUAAAGAGUGUUAAAGACAUAUUCAUAAUAAGAUUAAAUCUUACCUAAGUCGUAAAAAACAACAGGUAAAAACUAAGCCCACAGACUAAAGUAAUCUUAAUAGAUCUGAAUACACUAAAGCUAAGACCCAAACUGGGAUUAGAUACCCCACUAUGCCUAGCCGUAAACACAAAUAUUUAAUAACAAAAAUUUUCGCCCGAGAACUACUAGCAACAGCUUAAAACUCAAAGGACUUGGCGGUGCUUUAAACCCAUCUAGAGGAGCCUGUUCUAUAAUCGAUAAACCCCGAUAAACCUCACCACUUCUUGCCAACU